rnacentral:rRNA from 1 species
AAAACAUCUUUUCUUGUUAUUAAUUUGAAAUCUGGCCUGCCCAAUGAUUUAUUUAAUGGCCGCGGUAUUUUGACCGUGCAAAGGUAGCAUAAUCAUUAGUUUAUUAAUUGUGGACUUGUAUGAAUGGUUAGACGAGAUAUUUUCUGUCUGCAUUUUUGUUUAUAUAAAAUUUAAAUUUUUAGUUAAAAUGCUUAAAUUUUAUUAUUGGACGAGAAGACCCUAUAGAUCUUUAUUAUUUUGUUUUUAUUUUGUUUUUAGUGGUUAUUUUUAAGUAUUUAUUUAAUUUUUUGGUUGGGGUGACAUUAAGAUACAUAUAACUCUUUUUUAUUUUAUUCAUUUAUUUUUGUAAGAUUGACCUUUUAUUAUUGUUAUAAGAUUUAGAUACCUUAGGGAUAACAGCGUUAUUUUUUUUGAGAGUUCAUAUCGACAAAAUAGAUUGCGACCUCGAUGUUGGAUUAAGAUUACUUUUAUUAGUGCAGUUGCUUAAAUAGUAGGUCUGUUCGACCUU